GGGAUAGUAAGAGCUUGCUUUUCUUGAGAGUGGCGCACGGGUGCGUAACACGUAUGUAACCUACCUUUAUCAGGGGGAUAGCCUCUCGAAAGAGAGAUUAAGACCGCAUAACAUCAUUGAACAGCAUUGUUUGAUGAUCAAAUGUUUAUAGGAUAAAGAUGGGCAUGCGGGACAUUAGCUAGUUGGCGGGGUAACGGCCCACCAAGGCGACGAUGUCUAGGGGAUCUGAGAGGAUGACCCCCCACACUGGUACUGAGACACGGACCAGACUCCUACGGGAGGCAGCAGUAAGGAAUAUUGGUCAAUGGACGGAAGUCUGAACCAGCCAUGCCGCGUGCAGGAAGACGGCCCUACGGGUUGUAAACUGCUUUUGCAGGGGAAUAAACCUUCGUAUGUAUACGAAGCUGAAUGUACUCUGAGAAUAAGGAUCGGCUAACUCCGUGCCGGCAGCCGCGGUAAUACGGAGGAUCCAAGCGUUAUCCGGAUUUAUUGGGUUUAAAGGGUGCGUAGGCGGCCAAUUAAGUCAGGGGUGAAAGACGGUAGCUUAACUAUCGCAGUGCCUUUGAUACUGAUUGGCUUGAAUGGACUAGAGGUAGGCGGAAUGUGACAAGUAGCGGUGAAAUGCAUAGAUAUGUCACAGAACACCAAUUGCGAAGGCAGCUUACUAUGGUUUAAUUGACGCUGAGGCACGAAAGCGUGGGGAUCAAACAGGAUUAGAUACCCUGGUAGUCCACGCCCUAAACGAUGAACACUCGAUGUUAGCGAUAUACAGUUAGCGUCUAAGCGAAAGCGUUAAGUGUUCCACCUGGGGAGUACGCCCGCAAGGGUGAAACUCAAAGGAAUUGACGGGGGCCCGCACAAGCGGAGGAGCAUGUGGUUUAAUUCGAUGAUACGCGAGGAACCUUACCCGGGCUUGAAAGUUAGUGAAUGAUACAGAGACGUAUCAGUCCUUCGGGACACGAAACUAGGUGCUGCAUGGCUGUCGUCAGCUCGUGCCGUGAGGUGUUGGGUUAAGUCCCGCAACGAGCGCAACCCCUAUGUUUAGUUGCCAGCACGUUAAGGUGGGGACUCUAAACAGACUGCCUACGCAAGUAGAGAGGAAGGAGGGGACGACGUCAAGUCAUCAUGGCCCUUACGUCCGGGGCUACACACGUGCUACAAUGGUCAGUACAGAGGGCAGCUACCUGGCAACAGGAUGCCCAUCUCACAAAGCUGAUCACAGUUCGGAUCGGGGUCUGCAACUCGACCCCCGUGAAGUUGGAUU
rnacentral:rRNA from 1 species